rnacentral:rRNA from 1 species
UACGAAGGGGGCAAGCGUUGUUCGGAGUUACUGGGCGUAAAGGGCGCGUAGGCGGUUUUUCAAGUCAGAUGUGAAAGCCCUGGGCUUAACCUGGGAAUGGCAUUUGGGACUGAAAGACUUGAGAUCGGGAGAGGUGAGUGGAAUUCCCAGUGUAGAGGUGAAAUUCGUAGAUAUUGGGAAGAACACCGGUGGCGAAGGCGGCUCACUGGACCGAAUCUGACGCUGAGGCGCGAAAGCGUGGGGAGCAAACAGG